rnacentral:lncRNA from 1 species
CUGACAGGGUCUCACUUUGUCGCCCAGGCAGGAGUGCAGUGGCUCAAUCUUGGGCUCACUGCAGCCUCAACCUCCCAGAGGCGGGGUUUCACCAUGUUGCCCAGACUGGUCUUGAACUCCUGAGCUUAAGCAAUCCACCUGCCUCGGCCUCCCAAAGUGUUGGGAUCACAGGCGUGAGCCACCGCAUCCGGCCUCAUGUUCUUUUUCAUUAAAGAGAGAAAUCAACUAUUCAGGACCGGCCCCCACCUUUCCUCAGGAGUCAUUUCUGUUCUGCACAGGCCUGCUGAACUGGGUGCUUUAUAUAGGACACUGUCAUCUCUCAAGUACCCAUCUUGGAGGGUACGGACCCCACAUGAGGAUUUCAGUGGAGUGAAGUUCAGGAGGCAUGGAGCUGACAACCAUGAGGCCUCGGCAGCCACCGCCACCACCGCCGCCGCCACCACCGUAGCAGCAGCAGCAGCAGCAGCAAGAGUAACUCUGACUUAGGAAUAGAGACAGCCAGAGAGAAAUGUGAUCAAUGAAGGAGACAUCUGGAGUGUGCGUGCUUCUUCAGAGGGACGGGUGAUGGGCAGAUUGGAAAAAGCACCGCAGAUGGGAACCUUAAUCUUUCUUUUCUAAAAUUGAUGCUAUGAAAAUUUGCGUUUUCUGUAACUUGUAAAAACUAAAGUUGCUUGUCUACUGAAAA